GGCGAGCGUGAGCGUUCCCUGGAGUGCCGCACAGACUGACGCUUCUUAUUCUUUCUCUGCUGCUCCUGUGUCUGCUGCUGAGACAGAGUCAACGCCUGCAGGGUCAUCUGCUGGGCCUAGAAGGAUGGAAGGGAAAACAGACUGUGGGCGAGCAAGCAGGGGAGAAGCAUACGUAUAGAUGGAGGAAGGAUUUCAGAGUACGAUGAUGAGGUCGUCUAAGCUGUUGAGGAGAAUCUAGAGACUCAAGAUGUGACCUCCUUCCACAAAGACUUGGCAAAGCUUGAAUAUUGGUGGACCAAGUGCAUUGAAGUUAAAGGAGACUACGGUGAAAAUGAUGCAAAUGUGAUGCUGUUUUGAGAUUUGGGAAAACAAGGAGUUGCACACAACAGCAUGUGAACAGCAGCAAUGGGG